rnacentral:rRNA from 1 species
UUAGGAAUCUUCCACAAUGGGCGAAAGCCUGAUGGAGCGACGCCGCGUGAGGGAUGACGGUCUUCGGAUUGUAAACCUCUGAACUAGGGACGAAAGACGGUUUGCCGGGAUGACGGUACCUAGGUAAUAGCACCGGCUAACUCCGUGCCAGCAGCCGCGGUAAUACGGAGGGUGCGAGCGUUAUCCGGAAUCACUGGGCGUAAAGGGCGUGUAGGCGGGACGUUAAGUCUGGUUUUAAAGACCGCAGCCCAACUGCGGGAGUGGACUGGAUACUGGCGUUCUAGACCUCUGGAGAGGUAACUGGAAUUUCUGGUGUAGCGGUGGAAUGCGUAGAUACCAGAAGGAACACCAAUGGCGAAGGCAGGUUACUGGACAGAAGGUGACGCUGAGGCGCGAAAGUGUGGGGAGCAAACC